rnacentral:lncRNA from 1 species
CAGAGGUAGUAGAGCAUGUAUUGAUUCACUCUGAUUUGCGCCAGUGAUAUUUAAUAUUUUCCAGCUAGGACUCUGAUUUGGAUUCUCUUGUUAAUGAGCAAAACGACGCAGUUUUUAAUUAAAAGAAAUACCAAUGUUUGAAACAAAACUACACCGUUUUUGUUAUUGAACAACACCAUUUUCUUAUUAAAAAGGAACUCUUAUGAACAACACAUGCUCCUCUCUCUCUCUUGUUGCCUUUCCCGGUAGCCACAACAACAACCGUUGGUUUGCACCCUGGUUUCUUCCACCAUUGGUGCCGCUGGUUUCUCCCCGGUGGAUGAGCCUAGCUCCUCCACAACAACAGCAAAGCCCAAUGAUGGUGUCACAACCGUUGUCCCAGUCGCCGACAUCACCGCUGCCGUUUGAAUGCUUAAGAGAGACGUCUAACAAAGAUUGGAAUUUUGUAAAUGUUUUCUAAUUAAAUUGUCUAAUCCAUUAAAGUUCAAAGAAGUUAGAGACAAAUUGAAUCAAUAGAGCAGAACAAACUAUUCAAUUGACCUGAAACAAGAAAUUGAUUAAUGAUGCAUGCUAACCAUAAUCUGGGUUUCCAAUUUUCUCAGGUAGGAAUAGCUGUGAUGAAUGGGAAACAAGCUAUCUUCAGUGGGCAUCAUGACUAGCUGAAACAAUCCAAGAGCCGUCCCUCACCCUUGCUGCCUUUCCGACGGUUCACGCAGCGGCUGAAUAUCCUAUUUUUGCUUAUCAUUGCCUUCAAUUCUCGAUCUCUGUCUCAUUGCUAGCAUUGUUGGCUUCUUUGUGGUGGAAUAACCAAGCUCCUCCACAACAAGAGCAAUAAGAAUCGUUUGCAUCGUUGUCGCUGCCGCCAAUGGUAUCACAGUUGUUGCAGUUCCAGUUGCCGAUGUCAUCGUUGUCGUUCGGAUGCUCGAACUCAAACUCGCUACCGUAAUCGGCGCUACAGUCCUUAAAGUCGGACCCAUUAGUAUCA